AUUGAACGCUGGCGGCAGGCCUAACACAUGCAAGUCGAACGGUAACAGAAAGCAGCUUGCUGCUUUGCUGACGAGUGGCGGACGGGUGAGUAAUGUCUGGGAAACUGCCUGAUGGAGGGGGAUAACUACUGGAAACGGUAGCUAAUACCGCAUAACGUCGCAAGACCAAAGAGGGGGACCUUCGGGCCUCUUGCCAUCGGAUGUGCCCAGAUGGGAUUAGCUAGUAGGUGGGGUAAAGGCUCACCUAGGCGACGAUCCCUAGCUGGUCUGAGAGGAUGACCAGCCACACUGGAACUGAGACACGGUCCAGACUCCUACGGGAGGCAGCAGUGGGGAAUAUUGCACAAUGGGCGCAAGCCUGAUGCAGCCAUGCCGCGUGUAUGAAGAGGGCCUUCGGGUUGUAAAGUACUUUCAGCGGGGAGGAAGGGAGUAAAGUUAAUACCUUUGCUCAUUGACGUUACCCGCAGAAGAAGCACCGGCUAACUCCGUG
rnacentral:rRNA from 1 species